rnacentral:rRNA from 1 species
UACGGAGGGUGCAAGCGUUAUUCGGAUUCACUGGGCUUAAAGGGUGCGUAGGUGGGCAGGUAAGUCAGUGGUGAAAUCUCCGGGCUUAACCCGGAAACUGCCGUUGAUACUAUUUGUCUUGAAUAUUGUGGAGGUAAGCGGAAUAUGUCAUGUAGCGGUGAAAUGCUUAGAUAUGACAUAGAACACCAAUUGCGAAGGCAGCUUACUACACAAUCAUUGACACUGAGGCACGAAAGCGUGGGGAGCAAACAGG